GUUUUUCUGAGGGACAGUCAGCUUUUUCUAGACCACUGUCCUCUGCUAAGUUUCUUUUUACAGACACGGGAUUCCUGCAUCUGUAGGGUGACCCUGUGGGGAGUACAGACCACAAAAGCUCUGGGACAACCUGGGAACUUACUUGUUGUAGUUCUUAGUAGCCUGGACAGCAUGUGCAAUCUUCUGUUGGAGGUCCACGGGCAACAGAUGCAGAUCCCCCAAGACCCGGAUACACACCCCAUGCUUCUGGAGCUUCUCCCUGAUUGAGGAAAAGGAGGCGGCACUGUGACAGAGUGCCUGCUGCACAGGAACGGCAGGCAGCGCUGUGCAUGCGACUUCAGAACGGUGUCACACUCUGAAAGGCGGCAGUGCAGCACUGAGGCCCAGGCAUCUCUGUGUACCACGUGUGAGCUUGCUCAGAAGAGGGUGUCAAUUCCCUAAAACUGGAGUUACAGUGAGCUGCCCUGUGAAUGCUGGGAAUUGUGAGUCCUCUGCAAGAACAGCAAGUGCUCUUUGCCACUGAACCAUCUCUCUAGUUCUAAAGUAAUCUUAAUGAGUUUUGAUUUUUAUUAGCUUGUAGCUACAGCUACUAAGCAUUUUUCUCAGGCACUAACUGACCAUUUGUAUUUCUAUAUUUUAAAUCUGUUCAACUGAUUUAACUCUUUUAUUGACUCAUUAUUUCUUCUUUUGGCUUUAACUUUUUGAAAUUACAUUUAUUUUGUUGUGUGUAUGGAGGUCACAGGACAACUUAGAAGAGGCAGUUUGUUCUUUCCGCCAUGUAGGUGAUAGGGGUGGGAUUCAGAUUAUCACACUUGGUGACAAGAGCCUUUAUUCACUGCGCCAUCUUUCCUUAUCACCCAUCUACCACCUUCUGCUUUUGUCUCCUACAUAAUGCCUUGUCAAAAAUCUAACCUCGUCAAGCAGCUUGUUUUUGCCAACAGAAGGCUGUCAUUCAUAGCAUCCUGAGGAAAGAGUUUCCACAUUCUGGCCUACUUGUGAAGACACGGCAUUUGUAUGUGAGUAUGUGGAGACACGAAGCUUACUGAUUCAAAUGAAUCAUUACAUGCUGCUUGACAGUCUGUAUCUAAAAAAAAGAAAAAAAAGUCAGGCUGACUGCCUCAUCAAAAACAUCUCUCAGGCACAGAAUAUGGCAUUGUUGUGAUUCCUGAGACGGCUCAGCUGGUAAAGCCAACUGCCCCAAAGCCUGAUCCGGAAAGUUGUUCUCCAACCUCUAUAUGUACAGUAUUAUAUCGCCAUCCCAGGAUAGCCGAGUGUCACUAGACACUGUGCUAAAUUCUUUGUGUCUAUUCUUCUUUUAAGCCCCAUGAAGACAUGUGUGUUAAGCCACAUGGUUGAUAAAUAACAAGAGUUUCUCUCAUGGUUGUCUGCCUCUAGAGCCCAAAGUCUUAACCACCGGAAAAUGAUUAACUCAGAAGAUAGUACAAGGAAGAGCGGAUGGAAGCCCCAGUGCUGUCGUUCAUCUUCCCGACACUCCUCAUGUGGUGGCGACCUCAACCAAAACAUUAUUCUUGUUGAUACUUCAUAACUGUGAUUUUGUUACUGUUAUGACUCAUAAUGUAAAUGUCUGAUAGCGACCCCUGUGAAUGGUUGUUCAACCCCCGGAAAGGGUCAAGACCCACAGGUUAAGAACCACCACUCUAGGGAGACAAAUUUCAAUUCCCUGCCAUUCACAGCCACAUUCUCUCUUCCUUUUUCAAACUCAGGGUCUUGUGAUUACUAAGUAAGCAUCCCACCAAUGAGCUCUCUGGACACUCUUAAGGCCAAAAUUUCAGUGUUCCAGAAGGAAAAUCUAACAUUCUGUCCAAUUAUAUUAAGAGACCCCAGUUUGCCUUAAAAAAAUAAAAAUAAAAAAGUCACUUGUGCUGGGUGGUGGUGGUGCACGUUCUUACUCCCAGCAACCAGGAGGCAGAGACAGGCAGAUCUUUGUGAGUUCGAGUCCAGCCUCAAACUACAGAACGAGUUUCAGGACAGCCAGGGUUGUUACACAGAGAAACCCUGCCUCAAAAACAAACAAAUAAACAAAUAAAUAGAUGGAUAAAGUGUCACUCAGUACAACAAAUACUAGAAACGCAGCCCGGUAAGCUACAUUACAAUUUUAAGAUUCUUAUUCCGUUAUUUAAUUCCAUUUAACACUACGAACUGACGGACUGCUGAAAAUUUAAUGAUUAGCCGCUCACCUUUAUGAUUUUGGCACAGAACCGUUCCCAAAGUGACAGCUCUCCUUCUUUGAUCCAAGACAUAGUUCUUGCUAUGUCAGAAAUCACCCCAGAACAAAGUAUCGGCCAGAGAACCCUGAAUAAAUGAAGAGAGAGAGAGAGAGAGAGAGAGAGAGAGAGAGAGAGAGAGAAGUAAUCUGUGCUUGCAAAUAAACAAAACCGCCUGAAGAGACUGCAGGACUGUGGCAAGCAGCGAGCACCUAAAUCCAGCGACUCCGGUCUAACUUCACGGCUCAGGCCUGUAAAAGGCAACGGGAGACCUUUGGGACAGAGUGUCUCCCAUUUGAUUUUCCUUACGUGCACUGAUUUCUCCCAAACCUCCUGCCACAUCGUGGUGCUUACAUCUCGGGCGCUCCCCGCAACUUCCUUCAGUCUCCCUGCAAUCCAUCUCUCACUCGGGCUAACUGAUCACCAACCCCACCGGCUGCCGCACCCGUGACCUCGGUGGCCUUAAAAGCACGCUCCCGGCUGGACCUUAGUGCCUCCCGCGGCUCACUCCGUACCCGGCUCGCCCUCCUCCGGGUCUCUCCGCUCACUCACUGCACCUGAGGCGCCGCAGCCAGCGUCUCUCCACCGCUCCCGGGCGACUCGCGACGUGGCGCUGGAAGAACACGUCACCUCUGCGCGCUAGGACACGCCUCCUCGGUGGGCGGGGCCUCGCCUUGAGCAGGCAAACUCCGGAGCCGAGCGGUCCGAGUGCUCUGGAGCUGACUGUUGGUGGGCGUGGAAACAGCGGCCUGGGAGGCCGAGAUCACGUGACUUGGGGGGGGGGCGCCGGGGUCGAGCCCAGCGGCCCUGGAAGAGGUCAGCCCCACGCAGCGCGGGCUUGCGUGCUGUGGCGACUUGCUGCGGGGCGAAGCCGGGAGAGCUCCACCUCAGAAAUGAGCUUCUGUAGGGAGGGUCGUAGUGCUUACAUUUUGGGAGACUCGGCCACUCCCUUCCGGAAUCCUCGUGCUUCAAUCGCCUGCUGCACGAUUGAACUGAGUUUCUGCAAAAGCUCUGCUGCGAUUUUGUCUUAAGUUUGCUUUUAGCCGAAAAUGGAGGCGCGUUGUCACUCAGCUCAGCACUCAAGGCGGCUGAGGCCGGGAGUACUUCUCUGUUAAGUAGUUAGAGGUCAGCCUCUUCUAGGGGAGACUGUCUUUAAAAAAAAUAAAAUAAAAUAGCGUAUUUUACCGCC